rnacentral:rRNA from 1 species
UACGUAGGGGGCGAGCGUUAUCCGGAUUCACUGGGUGUAAAGGGAGCGUAGACGGCCAAGCAAGCCAGGGGUGAAAGCCCGGGGCCCAACCCCGGGACUGCCCUUGGAACUGCAUGGCUGGAGUGCGGGAGGGGUAGGCGGAAUUCCUGGUGUAGCGGUGAAAUGCGUAGAUAUCAGGAGGAACACCGGCGGCGAAGGCGGCCUGCUGGACCGCGACUGACGUUGAGGCUCGAAAGCGUGGGGAGCGAACAGG